rnacentral:rRNA from 1 species
UACAGAGGUCCCAAGCGUUGUUCGGAUUCACUGGGCGUAAAGGGUGCGUAGGUGGUGAGGUAAGUCUGAUGUGAAAUCCCGCAGCUCAACUGCGGAACUGCAUCGGAUACUACCUCGCUAGAGGGUUUGAGGGGGGACUGGAAUUCUCGGUGUAGCAGUGAAAUGCGUAGAUAUCGAGAGGAACACCAGUGGCGAAGGCGAGUCCCUGGAAAACUCCUGACACUGAGGCACAGAAAGCUAGGGGGAGCAAACAGG